rnacentral:miRNA from 1 species
ACUAUCAGAGUCUCCAUUCCUGU